rnacentral:rRNA from 1 species
CAGCAGCCGCGGGAAUACGAAGGGGGCUAGCGUUGUUCGGAUUUACUGGGCGUAAAGGGCGCGUAGGCGGAUUUGUAAGUCAGGGGUGAAAUCCCGAGGCUCAACCUCGGAACUGCCUUUGAUACUGUGGAUCUUGAGUCCGGGAGAGGUGAGUGGAACUGCGAGUGUAGAGGUGAAAUUCGUAGAUAUUCGCAAGAACACCAGUGGCGAAGGCGGCUCACUGGCCCGGAACUGACGCUGAGGCGCGAAAGCGUGGGGAGCAAACAGGAUUAGAUACCCCUGUAGUCCCUGUCUCUUAUAC